rnacentral:rRNA from 1 species
UACGUAGGGGGCAAGCGUUGUCCGGAUUUAUUGGGCGUAAAGAGCGUGUAGGCGGCCAUACAGGUCCGUUGUGAAAACUCGAGGCUCAACCUCGAGCUGUCGGUGGAAACCACAUGGCUAGAGUCCGGAAGAGGAGAGUGGAAUUCCUGGUGUAGCGGUGAAAUGCGCAGAUAUCAGGAAGAACACCAAUGGCGAAGGCAGCUCUCUGGGACGGUACUGACACUGAGACGCGAAAGCGUGGGGAGCGAACAGG